rnacentral:rRNA from 1 species
UACAGAGGUCCCGAGCGUUGUUCGGAUUCACUGGGCGUAAAGGGUGCGUAGGUGGUCGGGUAAGUCUGAGGUGAAAUCUCCGAGCCCAACUCGGAAACUGCCUUGGAUACUAUUCGGCUAGAGGGUUGGAGGGGGGACUGGAAUUCUCGGUGUAGCAGUGAAAUGCGUAGAUAUCGAGAGGAACACCAGUGGCGAAGGCGACUACCUGGCCUGUUCUUGACGCUGAGGCGCGAAAGCUAGGGGAGCAAACGGG